rnacentral:rRNA from 1 species
GACGGAGGGUGCUAGCGUUGUUCGGAAUCACUGGGCGUAAAGGGCGCGCAGGCGGCCCCCUCGCGUCGGACGGUGAAAGCCCGGGGCUCAACCCCGGAACGGCGUCCGGAUACGGGGGGGCUCGAGGGCCGGGAGAGGGGGGUGGAAUACCCAGUGUAGAGGUGAAAUUCGUAGAUAUUGGGUGGAACACCGGUGGCGAAAGCGGCCCCCUGGCCCGGUCCUGACGCUGAGGCGCGAAAGCGUGGGGAGCAAACAGG